rnacentral:tRNA from 1 species
GCCGACGUGGCGGAACCACGGAAGACGCAGCGGCCUCAGAAGCCGUCGCCCGCGAGGGCGUCUCAGUUCGAACCUGAGCGUCGGCACCA